ensembl:lncRNA
AUGACAGCUCUGUUUCUAGUUCCAACAGACAUGACAGCUCUGUUUCUAGUUCCAACAGACAUGACAGCUCUGUUUCUAGUUCCAACAGACAUGGCAGCUCUACUUCUAGUUCCAACAGACUUGACAGCUCUGUUUCUAGUUCCAACAGACAUGACAGCUCUGUUUCUAGUUCCAACAGACAUGACAGCUCUACUUCUAGUUCCAACAGACUUGACAGCUCUGUUUCUAGUUCCAACAGACAUGACAGCUCUGUUUCUAGUUCCAACAGACAUGACAGCUCUGUUUCUAGUUCCAACAGACAUGACAGCUCUGCUUCUAGUUCCAACAGACAUGACAGCUCUGUUUCUAGUUCCAACAGACAUGGCAGCUCUGUUUCUAGUUCCAACAGACAUGGCAGCUCUGUUUCUAGUUCCAACAGACAUGACAGCUCUGCUUCUAGUUCCAACAGACAUGACAGCUCUACUUCUAGUUCCAACAGACAUGGCAGCUCUGUUUCUAGUUCCAACAGACAUGCCAGCUCUGUUUCUAGUUCCAACAGACAUGACAGCUCUACUUCUAGUUCCAACAGACAUGACAGCUCUGCUUCUAGUUCCAACAGACAUGACAGCUCUACUUCUAGUUCCAACAGACAUGACAGCUCUGUUUCUAGUUCCAACAGACAUGACAGCUCUACUUCUAGUUCCAACAGACAUGACAGCUCUGUUUCUAGUUCCAACAGACAUGACAGCUCUGCUUCUAGUUCCAACAGACAUGGCAGCUCUGUUUCUAGUUCCAACAGACAUGACAGCUCUCUUUCUAGUUCCAACAGACAUGGCAGCUCUACUUCUAGUUCCAACAGACAUGACAGCUCUACUUCUAGUUCCAACAGACAUGACAGCUCUGUUUCUAGUUCCAACAGACAUGGCAGCUCUGUUUCUAGUUCCAACAGACAUGACAGCUCUGUUUCUAGUUCCAACAGACAUGACAGCUCUACUUCUAGUUCCAACAGACAUGACAGCUCUGUUUCAGGUUCCAACAGACAUGACAGCUCUGCUUCUAGUUCCAACAGACAUGGCAGUUCUGUUUCUAGUUCCAACAGACAUGGCAGCUCUGUUUCUAGUUCCAACAGACAUGACAGCUCUGCUUCUAGUUCCAACAGACUUGACAGCUCUGUUUCUAGUUCCAACAGACAUGACAGCUCUGUUUCUAGUUCCAACAGACUUGACAGCUCUGCUUCUAGUUCCAACAGACAUGGCAGCUCUGUUUCUAGUUCCAACAGACAUGGCAGCUCUGUUUCUAGUUCCAACAGACAUGACAGCUCUGCUUCUAGUUCCAACAGACAUGACAGCUCUGCUUCUAGUUCCAACAGACAUGGCAGCUCUGCUUCUAGUUCCAACAGACAUGGCAGCUCUGUUUCUAGUUCCAACAGACAUGGCAGCUCUGUUUCUAGUUCCAACAGACAUGGCAGCUCUGUUUCUAGUUCCAACAGACAUGACAGCUCUGUUUCUAGUUCCUUAGCAACUUUGCAGUAUUAUUUUUUUUUUGUGUAUGUGAUGAGGUAAUAUCAUGUGCAAUAAUAAUGGCUCUAUAAGAGUGGUUAUGCAUCUAUUGGUUGGCAUAUAUUGUGUGCAAUUUGAGUCCAAUAUUUAUGUUCUAGAAAUGUGUAGUUAUGUUUCGGGUGUGUUUAAGCAGAGAGACAACUUUUCUGUGCGUCACACACACACACACACAUACGCCACACACACACACACACACACACACACACACACACCUCGUGUGUGAGUGCUAACGCGGGAUUGCAUCAAAAUUGUCUGUCAUCAAGUGCAUUCAGUCUACUUAUUCAUUCAUCCAUUCAUAUUUUUUAAGGGGCUAUUUUGUGAAUGAGAAGAUAUAAUCAGAUAAAUAAAAAUGUGUAUUUGUGCUUCUAUAUUAUUUUUUUUAUUUUUUUAUUUUUUAUUUAUUUCACCUUUAUUUAACCAGGUAGGCAAGUUGAGAACAAGUUCUCAUUUAUAAUUGCGACCUGGCCAAGAUAAAGCAAAGCAGUUCGACACAUUCAACGACAGAGUUACACAUGGAGUAAAACAAACAUACAGUCAAUAAUAUAGUAUAAACAAGUCUAUAUACGAUGUGAGCAAAUGAGGUGAGAUAAGGGAGGUAAAUGCAAAAAAAGGCCAUGGUGGCGAAGUAAAUACAAUAUAGCAAGUAAAACACUGAAAUGGUAGAUUUGCAAUGGAAGAAUGUGCAAAGUAGAAAUAAAAAUAAUGGGGUGCAAAGGAGCAAAAUAAAUAAAUAAAUUAAAUACAGUAGGGAAAGAGGUAGUUGUUUGGGCUAAAUUAUAGGUGGGCUAUGUACAGGUGCAGUAAUCUGUGAGCUGCUCUGACAGCUGGUGUUUAAAGUUGGUGAGGGAGAUAAGUGUUUCCAGUUUCAGAGAUUUUUGUAGUUCGUUCCAGUCAUUGGCAGCAGAGAACUGGAAGGAGAGGCGUCCAAAGAAAGAAUUGGUUUUGGGGGUGACUAGAGAGAUAUACCUGCUGGAGCGUGUGCUACAGGUGGGAGAUGCUAUGGUGACCAGCGAGCUGAGAUAAGGGGGGACUUUACCUAGCAGGGUCUUGUAGAUGACAUGGAGCCAGUGGGUUUGGCGACGAGUAUGAAGCGAGGGCCAGCCAACGAGAGCGUACAGGUCACAAUGGUAGGUAGAAUAUGAGGCUUUGGUGACAAAACGGAUUGCACUGUGAUAGACUGCAUCCAAUUUGUUGAGUAGGGUAUUGGAGGCUAUUUUGUAAAUGACAUCGCCAAAGUCGAGGAUUGGUAGGAUGGUCAGUUUUACAAGGGUAUGUUUGGCAGCAUGAGUGAAGGAUGCUUUGUUGCGAAAUAGGAAGCCAAUUCUAGAUUUAACUUUGGAUUGGAGAUGUUUGAUAUGGGUCUGGAAGGAGAGUUUACAGUCUAAUCAGACGCCUAAGUAUUUGUAGUUGUCCACGUAUUCUAAGUCAGAGCCGUCCAGAGUAGUGAUGUUGGACAGGCGGGCAGGUGCAGGUAGCGAUCGGUUGAAGAGCAUGCAUUUAGUUUUACUUGUAUUUAAGAGCAAUUGGAGGCCACGGAAGGAGAGUUGUAUGGCAUUGAAGCUUGCCUGGAGGGUUGUUAACACAGUGACCAAAGAAGGGCCAGAAGUAUACAGAAUGGUGUCGUCUGCGUAGAGGUGGAUCAGAGACUCACUAGCAGCAAGAGCGACCUCAUUGAUGUAUACAGAGAAGAGAGUCUGUCCAAGAAUUGAACCCUGUGGCACCCCCAUAGAGACUGCCAGAGGUCCGGACAGCAAACCCUCCGAUUUGACACACUGAACUCUAUCAGAGAAGUAGUUGGUGAACCAGGCGAGGCAAUCAUUUGAGAAACCAAGGCUGUCGAGUCUGCCGAUGAGGAUGUGGUGAUUGACAGAGUCGAAAGCCUUGGCCAGAUCAAUGAAUACGGCUGCACAGUAAUGUUUCUUAUCGAUGGCGGUUAAGAUAUCAUUUAGGACCUUGAGCGUGGCUGAGGUGCACCCAUGACCAGCUCUGAAACCAGAUUGCAUAGCAGAGAAGGUAUGGUGAGAUUCGAAAUGGUCGGUAAUCUGUUUGUUGACUUGGCUUUCGAAGAACUUAGAAAGACAGGGUAGGAUAGCUAUAGGUCUGUAGCAGUUUGGGUCAAGAGUGUCCCCCCCUUUGAAGAGGGGGAUGACCGCAGCUGCUUUCCAAUCUUUGGGAAUCUCAGACGACACGAAAGAGAGGUUGAACAGGCUAGUAAUAGGGGUGGCAACAAUUUCGGCAGAUAAUUUUAGAAAGAAAGGGUCCAGAUUGUCUAGCCCGGCUGAUUUGUAGGGGUCCAGAUUUUGCAGCUCUUUCAGAACAUCAUCUGAACGGAUUUGGGAGAAGGAGAAAUGGGGAAGGCUUGGGCGAGUUGCUGUUGGGGGUGCAGUGCUGUUGACCGGGGUAGGAGUAGCCAGGUGGAAACAUGGCCAGCUGUAGAAAAAUGCUUAUUGAAAUUCUCAAUUAUGGUGGAUUUAUCAGUGGUGACAGUGUUUCCUAUCUUCAGUGCAGUGGGCAGCUGGGAGGAGGUGUUCUUAUUCUCCAUGGACUUUACAGUGUCCCAGAACAUUUUUGAGUUAGUGUUGCAGGAAGCAAAUUUCUGCUUGAAAAAGCUAGCCUUAGCUUUUCUAACUGCCUGCGUAUAAUGGUUUCUAGCUUCCCUGAACAGCUGCAUAUCACGGGGGCUGUUCGAUGCUAAUGCAGAACGCCAUAGGAUGUUUUUGUGUUGGUUAAGGGCAGUCAGGUCUGGGGAGAACCAAGGGCUAUAUCUGUUCCUGGUUCUACAUUUCUUGAAUGGGGCGUGUUUAUUUAAGAUGGUUAGGAAGGCAUUUAAAAAAAAUAUUCACCACCUACAUCGCCAGAGGAACAGAGGAGGAGUAAAAUAAGGGUACGGCUAAAAGCAAUAAGAAUUGGUCGUCUAGAGCGUCUGGAACAGAGAGUAAAAGGAGGUUUCUGGGGGCGAUAAAAUAGCAUCAAGGUAUAAUGUACAGACAAAGGUAUGGUAGGAUGUGAAUACAGUGGAGGUAAACCUAGGUAUUGAGUGAUGAAGAGAGAGAUAUUGUCUCUAGAAACAUCAUUGAAACCAGGAGAUGUAAUUGCAUGUGUGGGUGGUGGAGCUAAAAGGUUGGAUAAGGUAUAGUGAGCAGGACUAGAGGCUCUACAGUGAAAUAAGCCAAUAAACACUAACCAGAACAGCAAUGGACAAGGCAUAUUGACAUUAAGGAGAGGCAUGCUUAGUCGAGUGAUCAAAAGGGUCCAGUGAGUAUAGAGGUUGUUUGGGGGUCACGGCGAUUUAGACAGCUAGCCAGGCCAUCGGUAGCAAGCUAGCAUAGGAUGGAGGUCUGUUAGCCACCUCUUGCGUUCCGUCAGUAUAUUAGUGGGGUUCCGUGUGGUAGAGGGGAUUAAUCCAAAUCACACAAAAAAAAAAAAAACAAUAGAUAUAGUUAUAGAGGCCCAAGAAGAAAAAAAUAAUAAAAAUAAAUAAAUAAAUUGUCCGAUUGACUAUUCAGAUAGCAGCCGAUAAGACAGCUAACGGUUAGCGGGCCGCAGAUGGGCGUUCAGGUAACGUCGCGACGGAGGACCUGAGCCCUAGGACCAUGCCCCAGGAAUACCUGACAUGAUGACUCCUUGCUGUCCCCAGUCCACCUGACUGUGCUGCUGCUCCAGUUUCAACUGUUCUGCCUUAUUAUUAUUCGACCAUGCUGGUCAUUUCUGAACAUUUGAACAUCUUGGCCAUGUUCUGUUAUAAUCUCCACCUGGCACAGCCAGAAGAGGACUGGCCACCCCACAUAGCCUGGUUCCUUUCUAGGUUUCUUCCUAGGUUUUGGCCUUUGUAGGGAGUUUUUCCUAGCCACCGUGCUUCUACACCUGCAUUGCUUGCUGUUUGGGGUUUUAGGCCGGGUACAGCACUUUGAGAUAUCAGCUGAUGUACGAAGGGUUAUAUAAAUAAAUUUGAUUUGAACUCCUUCGGGUAGAUAACGUUGGCAGUCCAGUUGUGAAGGCCCGGUGGGGCUCUGCGUAGGCAGUAAAACGGGUCCGGAUAGGUGAUUGUAGCCCAGGAGUGAUUGAUGGAAUUCUUCAGCUGGCUAGCUCCGGAAUAAUUGAUGUUUGCUCCGGAAUCGAUGAAAGCCGAUAGUCACACGGAUAGCAGCUAGCUAGCUGUGAGAUCCGGGUAUGAAUGUCCAGAGUUAGCGGUUGAAAUCCAGGGACAUGGAGAGAGAAAUUGGUCCGGUAUGUUCCGUUCCGAGUCGCGCUGCGCCGUACAAAACUGCCGAUAGAUUUUCGAGCUAAAGGAUAGCUGAUGACCUCAAACCGUGGUUAGCUGAAAACUAACGAUUAGCCAGUAAAGAAGCUAACUAACUUCUGAUUAGCUUCUGAUUAGCUUCUGAUUAGCUUCUGGAUUAGCUUCUGGAUUAGCUUCUGGAUUAGCUUCUGGCUAGCUUCUGGCUAGUUUCUGGCUAGCUUCUUGGAGGAUUACAAAUUUGAGGUAAAUAAUACUUUUUUAUAAAUAUAAAUUGGUGAGGCGGGUUGCAGGAGAGUGUUUUGAAGAUGAGUUUAUGGA